GUAUAGAAUACCAAUCAGCACAUCUUCCCUGCCCUGUGUGUUUGUUGCAAAGGAUCCAUACUGUAAAUAUAAUUUUUGUUUGUUAAUAAGAGAGCAACAUUUACAUUUUCAGCGGUCCAACACAUGCUUCAUUUUGCGCUGUAAACUAACCUUUUUAUUGCAACAGAUUCCUUUUAAAUGAUCCAGUGUAAUAAUUACUGCAUAUGUUUUGUGUCUUCUAUGUCUCACAUUAUAUGUGUUCUGUUAUUUUAAAUUGUGGUAUAUAGCCUGGAUCAGAGAUUAUGGACAAAGGUUUCUACCUGUUUUACUAAGGCUCUUGGAGACUGACCGGUCUAAGGUUUGCCAUGCCUUUUAAACAUGGUAUAGAAUAAUUUUUUUUUUUUAAGUCUCUGAAAGUUCUGUAAGAUUCUGGUGAAACCAUGUCUGUGUAAUCUGGUCCAGAUGUUUGCAAAAUUUCUGUAAGAUUUAA